GCCAGUGUGGCACAGUGGUUUCAGCAUCAGCCUGUGACUCUGGAGAGCAGGGUUUGAAUCCCAGCUUAGACA